rnacentral:rRNA from 1 species
UACGUAGGGGGCAAGCGUUGUCCGGAUUUAUUGGGCGUAAAGAGCGUGUAGGCGGCCUGAAAGGUCAGCUGUGAAACUCGAGGCUCAACCUCGAGACGUCGGUUGAAACCAUCUGGCUAGAGUCCGGAAGAGGAGUGUGGAAUUCCCGGUGUAGCGGUGAAAUGACGCAGAUAUCGGGGAAGAACACCCGUGGCGAAGGCGGCACUCUGGGACGGUAC